AUGAAAAGGUGACAUCACUAGUGCGCACACACUUGACAGAAAGGCACACACACACACAUGUGAUGGUGAGCUCGUACGUUGGUCGCACUGAGAGCUUUCUCCUACGGAGCUGCCAAUCAACUGAGACAAGGCAAAGGUUGUAAAGGCUCAACCUUGGAGAACACAAUCGUGUGUGUGUGUGUGUGUGUGUGUGUCUCGCCCACCCACACUACUGUAUCUCUCAGCUGAGAAUGGGUGUUGGCAUCAGGAGGGAUGAGAUGAGAGAUUUACAAUGUGCAAUUCCAGCUUUCUGAACCCCAGCCUCUAUGACACAGGCACAAGUUGACUGAUGAACAGAAACAUCUCCAUCCCCCUCUAGCCAUAGAGACAGCCGUAACUUCCGGAGGAAGGUCUGAGUGGUGGCCGGAAACGGGAGUCUGGCAUGCACAGCUGGCUGUUGGUGGGGAUCUAAAAA